rnacentral:rRNA from 1 species
AUUGAACGCUGGCGGCGUGCCUAACACAUGCAAGUCGAGCGGUAACAGGUGUAGCAAUACAUGCUGACGAGCGGCGGACGGGUGAGUAACGCUUGGGAAUCUGCCUAUUAGGUGGGGGACAACCCGGGGAAACUCGGGCUAAUACCGCAUACGCUCUACGGAGGAAAGCCGGGGACCGCAAGGCCUGGCGCUAAUAGAUGAGCCCAAGUCGGAUUAGCUAGUUGGUAGGGUAAUGGCCUACCAAGGCGACGAUCCGUAACUGGUCUGAGAGGACGACCAGUCACACCGGAACUGAGACACGGUCCGGACUCCUAC